AAUAUUGCACAAUGGGGGAAACCCUGAUGCAGCGACGCCGCGUGAGUGAAGAAGUAANNNGGUAUNUAAAGCUCUAUCAGCAGNGAANAAAAUGACGGUAACUGACUAAGAAGCCACGGCUAACUACGUGACUGCAGCCGCGGUAAUACGUAGGGGGCAAGCGUUAUCCGGAUUUACUGGGUGUAAAGGGAGCGUAGGUGGUUUGGUAAGUCAGAUGUGAAAGCCCGGGGCUCAACCCCGGGACUGCAUUUGAAACUAUCAAACUAGAGUGCAGGAGAGGUAAGUGGAAUUCCUAGUGUAGCGGUGAAAUGCGUAGAUAUUAGGAGGAACACCAGUGGCGAAGGCGGCUUACUGGCCUAUAACUGACGCUAAUGCACGAAAGCGUGGGUAGCAAACAG
rnacentral:rRNA from 1 species